rnacentral:rRNA from 1 species
AGCGAACGCUGGCGGCAGGCUUAACACAUGCAAGUCGAGCGGUCAUGCGGGGGGUGUCCGCGGCAGACGGGUGAGUAACGCGUGUGACCGUGCCCUACGCUUCGGAAUAACGCGGGGCAACUUGUGCUAAUACCGGAUACUUCCGAGAGCAGAAAGGUUUAUCUGUCUAAGGAUCGGCCCGCGUCUGAUUAGCUAGUUGGUGGGGUUACGGCCCACCAAGGCGACGAUCAGUAGCCGGUCUGAGAGGAUGAGCAGCCACACUGGGACUGAGACACGGCCCAGACUCCUACGGGAGGCAGCAGUGGGGGAUAUUGGACAAUGGGGGCAACCCUGAUCCAGCCAUGCCGCGUGAGGGAUGAAGGUUUUCGGGUUGUAAAGCUCUGUUGACCGGGAAGAUAAUGACGGUACCGGUUGAAUAAGCCACGGCUAACUUCGUG